GGGGAUGUAGCUCAGUGAUAGAGCACCUGCCUAUCACACAUGAGGCCCUGAGUUUAAUCCCCAGUAAUACCA
rnacentral:tRNA from 1 species